rnacentral:rRNA from 1 species
UACGUAGGGGGGCAAGCGUUGUCCGGAUUUAUUGGGCGUAAAGAGCGUGUAGGCGGCCCAGGUAGGUCCGGCUGUGAAAACUCGAGGCUCAACCUCGAGAUGCGGCGGAAACCAUCUGGCUAGAGUCCGGAAGAGGAGAGUGGAAUUCCUGGUGUAGCGGGUGAAAUGCGCAGAUAUCAGGAAGAACACCCCGUGGCGAAGGCGGG